UAAUCACAGAUAGGUAGUUGUUGCUGUUAGUUUGUUGUUGAUGUUAAAUACCCGAGCGCCUUAGGGCGACUCCGGUUUUUGUUUUUGUUAAGUUUAUGUUUGCUUGUCGCAGUCGUGCCUCCAAUACUUCGAGUGACGUGCACCAGAUGGCGAAGAAUCGAGCCGUGGGACAUUAUUUGUGAUAACAACCGUUAUCGGCUAUAGUUAUGGAAAGGAAAUCAGCUAUAUCAAGUAUGGGUUUAAUUGUUUACGUUGAAUUUUUGUUUGUUAUUAAGUUUGGCGUUCUAUUCGUUAGAUGAAUGCAGAUCCGGUUCAAAACGGAUAUUUUGAUAAAAUGUUGUCCCUUCAUUGUUAGUUGUUAGCUUCGUUUUUUAGCCCAUUGUUUAAGUUUUUGUUUACGUCGUCGUUCUUACAAUAUGAACAUAUCUACAAUUGAUAAAAGUGUUCAGUACACAUGACCCGUUCUAAUUGUUAACGUGCUGUCACCAAGCUCUCAUUGUUGCCACCCCACAAAACCUGGAUUAGAAUCAGACUUUACCUACCGAAUUUUCGAGCAGCAUUAUGUUGUUAAGUUUACGUUAUAUCUGUUAAAAUCCUUGUUGCCGCAUUUUUGAGUUUUUGUUUGGAGACUAUUCUACCACAGCCACAGAUCACAGGCUGAGGCCUUAGUAGAAUUAUUGUUUUUGUUACGUUUUAGUUUCAUGCAAAAAAAAAGUUAAAUUCUUAUUAUAAAUAAACUCAUACAUAUUAGCUGUUGUGGGACCACGACAGAUAAUUAAGAAAAAAAGCUGUUAAGUUUUUGUUAUUGCCUAAAAAAUUUGAAAGGGAUCUCUUAGAUCAUAAACACAUUUAAAUACCCUUAAUGAGAAAUUUACGUUAGUAACAUGUUUAAUUGGAUUCUACAAUCUCUUUACUAUAAAUAGAACAACGAACCACAUAAUAUUCAGGAAACGUAAUUAGAAAUUAAUAAGGUGGUUUAUUCGUAUCCUUUAUUAGAUUUAAGACCAUAUCUUUUACUUUUAUAGUUAGUUUGCGUGGGCUUUUAUUAGACGUAAUUAAUUUUAAGUUACUUUUUAAUUAAAAUGUCAAUUAAGGAUGAACGCCCCGGUGCGGUGGCUUUAGGUAUGAAUUGUAGUUCAUAAUUUAGUGUUAAGAGUUUAAUGGUUUCCGUGUGCCUUAAAUUUUUGUGUGGCUUCUGCAGUUAAUUUAUAAGGAAUGUGAAGUUGUGCCUUUUCCGACCCAGAUUGUAUAUAAAACAGAGAUCUGGAUGAUCUGUAACACUCUGUUUUACAUAAAAUUGUACUGAAAAGGGCAGAACUGGAUUGUUAUACUGUUAAUUAACCUUUAAUACUUUUAUAUUGAGCUGUACACUUGAAAUAAUGUACAAUACUAGACCCCAUUUACUAUACGUAGUGCACUUACAGGUUAUGACAGGCGAGAGUUAAAGAUAAAGUUGUUGUUGACUGUUUCUGUUAAGUUUUUAUUCUUUUAUUUUAUUGUUGAGUUUUAGUUCUGUUAUUUUUCAUGUAAAUAUGUACAUACCAUUCUGUAAAUAAAGAGUGCGGCUUUUUGCAUUUUUA